rnacentral:rRNA from 1 species
AUGACUAGGGAUAACCUUAGGAAGAGACACAUCAUCAAACCCCUUGAUUGUGUUUACUGCUUGGAACAAGAGUCUUGUUCUCACCUAUUUUUUGAAUGUAUAGUUGCUAAACAUCUCUGGGCCCACAUUAGGAAAUAUUUCUCUAGUCAGAUGGGCUCAUCCUUCGAAUCUGUCGCCAGAUUCUGGAUUGCUACCAAAAAGUGCUCAGUUUUAAAUACUAUUAGCUCAGCUGUCCUUUGGUGCCUCUGGAAAUAUAGAAAUGCUAUGAUUUUUAGUAACACCUCCUGGAUUUCCAUUCCGCAGGUCUUGAGGUUGACCAGGAACAUGGUCAGGAACUGGGCGAUUCUCCUCCGGAUCGGACAAGGACAAGUUGAUGAGCUUCGUGGAAACCCUAACAAGGUCCCUCCAGAAACCGUUGGCGAUCACUUGUGGCUGAACAAGGCUCAACCUGCUCUAGGGCUGGACCCGUGGGCUCGUCUCAAGAUCUCUGAUGAAGAUGAUGGGCACCUGGCGCCGAAAAAGAGGGACAUCCACCAUGCUACGCCUUCCAGCCCGGUGUCUCCGCUUGCUUACUGGUCGCCGCAGGCUGACACGGCCCCUCGGCUGAAGACCAUGAAGGCUUCGCUGGACCCUCCUUGUGUCAUUUGA